UGGGGAAUAUUGGGCAAUGGGCGAAAGCCUGACCCAGCAACGCCGCGUGAGGGAAGAAGGUUUUCGGAUCGUAAACCUCUGUCCUUGGGGACGAAAGAAAUGACGGUACCCAAGGAGGAAGCCCCGGCUAACUACGUGCCAGCAGCCGCGGUAAUACGUAGGGGGCGAGCGUUGUCCGGAAUGAUUGGGCGUAAAGGGCGCGUAGGCGGCCUGUUAAGUCUGGAGUGAAAUUCCUGCUUUCAAGGUAGGAAGUGCUUUGGAAACUGGCGGGCUGGAGUGCAGGAGAGGUUAGCGGAAUUCCCGGUGUAGCGGUGAAAUGCGUAGAGAUCGGGAGGAACACCAGUGGCGAAGGCGGCUAACUGGACUGUAACUGACGCUGAAGCGCGAAAGUGUGGGGAGCAAACAGG
rnacentral:rRNA from 2 species